UCAUCUUGAGGUUUUGGAUAUGCAACACAACAAUCUUUCUGGAACUCUUCCAAUGACUUUUAGAGCUGGAGCAUUUAGAAGCUUCAACUUGCAUGGCAAUAAAAUAAAGGGGAAAAUUCCCCAAUCUUUUGGCCAAUUGUAAAGAGAUGCAAGUUCUUGAUUUAGGAGACAAUCACCUCAACGCCUCAACGACACAUUCCCAAUGUGGUUGGGAACUCUUCCUAAGUUGAGAGUUUUAAGCUUGAGAUCGAAUAAGUUGCAUGGACCGAUUAGAACUUUAGGAAGUGAAAACAUUUUUAAUGAGCUUCGAAUGUUGGAUAUCUCUUCCAAUGCCUUCACGGAAAACUUACCGAUGAGUCUGUUUCAACAUUUAAAAGCCAUGAGGGCAAUUGAUCAAACGAUAAAUGCAGCAAGUGAGGAAGGAGAUGAAUAUUACCAAGACACGGUAACUCUUGUAACGAAGGGAUUGGAGCUUGAAGUUGUGAAAAUCCUUUUUUUGUACACCACUAUUGAUCUUUCAAACAAUAAAUUUGAAGGACAUAUUCCAAGUAUUAUGGGAGAUCUCAUUGCACUCCGUGUGCUGAAUUUAUCUCAUAAUGGAUUGGAAGGUCAUAUACCCUCAUCAGUUGGAAGUUUAUCUUUGGUUGAAUCAUUGGACCUGUCAAGUAACCAUCUUGUAGGAGAGAUACCAGCACAAUUUGCUUCUCUUACAUCUCUUGAAGUCAUCAAUCUUUCCUACAAUCAUCUUGAAGGGUGCAUUCCUCAAGGAACUCAACUUCAGACCUUUGAGAGCAAUGCAUAUGAAGGUAAUGAUGGAUUACGUGGAUUACCUGUUUCAAAAGGCUGUGGUAGUUAUGAUAAUGAUUCAGAAUCAGAGAAAAUUGAUACCGGAUCUGAGCUAGAUAAAGAAAGUGACUUUGAAUUUCUGAAUGAUUUUUGGAAAGCUGCUCUUAUGGGGUAUGGAAGUGGAGUAUGUAUUGGAUUAUCGAUAAUAUAUUUCAUGUUCUCAACUGGAAAUCCGAGAUGGCUUGCAAGAAUCAUUGUAGAACUGGAACACAAAAUAAUGAUGGGAAGGAGAAAGAAGCGGCAAAGGAAAAGGCAAAGGCAAUACAGAAGGCAAAGGCAAAGCCGGACUUAACAACUUUUUUUCAAAUUGUAAUUUCAUUUUAGCAUAAAAUAAAAGACUUAACUUUCUUUGUGUAAAUAUAAAAAAUCAGACAGUAAAUAAACAAAUUCAAACAUGCAGGUAGUUGGAGAAGAAUUUGUUGGAAUGCUCAUCAGAGAUGCAAUAAUAUCAGAAACAGCAGCUUAUGGUUUAUAACUUUAGGAAAUGUAAUAUUAUGAAUAUUGAUGAUUUAUUGUGUGUAAAUUUUCCAUUUUUCCAAAAAAAAGAAUAUAAAUAUUGUGUGUGUCCCUGAGGAGACAUUCGAUUGAAAAAAAUGAAGUGUAUUCUUUCGUUAUGGUGAUAUUUCAUGUAGGAAAAGUGAAACAACUGAUAGUUAAGUUGUGUUUCGAUAAAUAGUUGAUGAAAAAUGGGUUUCCAUUGUGCAUUUUUUCGUUGUGUUCCCAUUGUGCAUUUUUUCGUUGUGUUCCCAUUGCGCAUUUUUUUCUACCAACUCAAUAGUCUUUCUGUUGAUCAAAAGAGAGAGAGCAUUCAGAGAAGCUGAAUUGACGGAGGAAGAUAUUUUGCGUGCAACCGAGGGAAAGAGGAUUAACAAGGAAAAAAAACGAAUCUCCCACAAUCGUCUCCAAGGAUGCAUCCCUCAAAGACCUCGAUUUCAUACCAUUAAGGGAAAUUCAUAUGAAGGUAAUGAUAAGUUGCGUGGAUUCCCAGUUUCGAAAGGUUGUGGCAGUGAUCAAUUAUCAGAGGCAAGUUAUACCAUAUCUGUGCUUGAAGAUCUAGAAAGCAAUACUGAAUUUCUCAAUACUAUGUAUUGGAUUAUAUGUAGUAUGUUUCAUGAUUUCAACUGGAAAUCCGAAAUGGCUCGCAAGAAUCAUUGAAGAACUGGAACACAAAAUUAGUAGUGUAUUGAAUGAAAAACCGUCGGGAUCACAUAUCACCCAAAAUCCAUGGACAUAGCACACAAAAAAAGGAAAAAUCGGUAUUUCUCGUUCAGACCUCGUUUGAACUUUUAAAUCUCGACAUUUGAACCUCUGAACUAACGCAUGCCAUUAAAUAGGUCGUCACGGACGCCCACAAAAAAUUUCGACCAAAAAACCGUCGGAAUCACAUAUCACCAAAAUUCAUGGACUAUAGCACAUUAAAAAUGAAAAAAGGGUAUUUCUCAUUCCAGACCUCGUUUAAACUUGAAAAUUUCAAUAUUUUUCACUCUGGACCAACGCACGUCAUUAAUAAAGUCGUCACAGACGCCCAAGAAAAAUUUAUCUGAGAUUUUUUUAGUCUGUAUAGUCCAUUAAGUACACCACUCUGAACUUUGGAAUGUGUUUUUAAGUUGUAUUUCUUGUGUAAGUUGCAUUUGCAGAAUGAGAUUUGCUGCUUCCGUUUGCUGAGGUUUGUGAGUUAAGUGUUACGAAGAGUAAGUUUAGUAUUGACCAUCGGUAUGAAUAACCUCAAAAUUUUGUGAUGAUGGUAAUCGGUAGAUCAGAAAGUAACACAUCAUAUGGUUCUAUUUGAAGAAGAAAACUAAAAAGAUGAUUCUCUAGUCUUUUGUAAGUUUGUUUUCUUUUUGAGAGAAUUUAUUUUUUGUAUGAUGUAAUGUUUACUUGAAAAAAGAUGUAGAUGUGUGUAGCACAUGGAUAGAAAUAAAAAGGCAAAAACAUAACAACCCAAAUUUGACAAAAGAAUGACAAUUUUCUCUGAUAUAUAACAGAAAAAGUGUACGAAUACGACUAUAAGAGAAAGAGAGAGAUUUAUUGUUCUAACACUGGAUAUGGUAAAUGUGAUAGCACAACAAUCCCACAAUCCACUGCAAUAGAUUAGAGAGUACCUUCACGCAAAGAGGUAACAUGAUCAAAUGAUCUGAGAAACAAAAAGUUGUUUCCUGAAUGAAAACAUGUUUAUUUAACUUCACUAGAACUUCAAGGAAUGAAAACACGUUUCCUGAACUUCGAAUCACUGAUCUCUUUCUUCCACUCUUUUUCCAUUGGGGAAUUUGAGAAACUUGCGAGAUCUUUCUCUCAAUGACAGGAAAUUCCUUCAUCUAUGACAUCGCUGACAUUCCUGUAUUUGUCGAGAAACAACUUGAAAGGAAAAAAUCUGCAAUGCUUUGGUAGUAUCACUGCCCUCCAGUUUGUGAUGAUGUCACAUAAUAAUCUCAGUGGAGAGCUCCCUUCGUCUAUUUGAAAUUUAACAUCACUGCAAAUUCUAGAUAUGGGUAGGAACAAUCUAAAGGAAGCAAUAUCCACAAUGUUUUGGCAAUAUGAGUAGUCAUCUUGAGGUUCUGGAUAUGCAACCCAGCAAUCUUUCAGGGACUCUUCCAAUGACUUUUAGAGCCGGAACAUUUAGAAGCUUCUAAAGGGGAAAAUUCCUUAAUCUUUGGCCAAUUGCAAAGAGAUGCAAGUUCUGGAUUUAAAUGAUAAUCAGCUCAACGACACAUUCCCGAUGUGGUUGGGAACUCUUCCUGAAUUGAGAGUUUUAAGCUUGAGAUCGAAUAAGUUGCAUGGAGCCCUUAGAACCUUAGGAAGUGAAAAUAUGUUUCUUGCGCUUCAAUUUGGCAGGUUCUCGAGCUUGACACAUCUUGAUCUCUCAGGUCAAGUUCCUUCUGAAAUGUCUCAUCUUUUAUCAGAAAAAAAUUUAUAUGAUAUGGAAAUAAUUCUCUUUGAUUUUCUUUCUUAGAACCUAUAAUUAUUCUUACUUCGCAUCCGCCUCUGAACACAGGUCGUGGGUAAACAUUUCUUUCCGAAUUCGAAGAGUCUCUUGAUUGGAAACAAAAUAUAUUUAACUCAAAAGUGCUUCUGUUGAUUGAAAUAAGCUGACAAAAAAAAAACAAUUUGUUUUUCUUUAGACAAUUACAAAAGAAUAAGACUUAUUUGAAAGUUCUGUUUUCCUACUUAUUUGGUUUCUUAUGCUAGACCUGAGAAACAACAAAAACUUCCAACAAAAUAGACUUCUUCUUGACUUAAAAUAUUUUCAUCAACAUAUAAGCUUUGAAUUGAUUUCGAUGAAGGAACCAGUCCUUGUUUGGCACUAAUUCUAAAUAUGAUGUCGAUUCAGCUCUCACAAAAGACAAUUUAUUUUCUUUAGACAAAUACAAAACACGGCCGAUUUGAAAGUAAUGUUGUCCUACUUAUUUGUCUUCUUAUACUUGACUAGACCAAUAAUGCAGCCAGUUCAAAAUAUCAUAACUAUAUAUGAUGUUUCAAGUUUCAAAUUAUUCAAAAAGAAAGAGUCCUUGCUAAAUAUAUAUCAGCCUAUAUAUAUUUCUGUAGCCUGUUCUUGAUUUUCACUAUCAACUUUAAACUCAUUGAUGCUAAACAUGGGCUACGGGCAAUUCUCAUUUUUGCUCUUUGUCUGUUUCUGUCAGCUUUCUUUUUCUUCAUCCAUACCUCAUCUGUGCCGCAAAGAUCAAAGCUCCGCUCUUUUAAAAUUCAAGAAAACUCUUACUGUUGAUCCCUCAUUAGUUUUGUGUAAUUUCUACUAUUAUACAAGUUCAUGGAAUAUGAGCAUAGAUUGCUGCUCGUGGGGUGGAGUGAUAUGCGAUGAGAUGACUGGCCAUGUCAUUGAACUUGAUCUCAGUUGCAACAGUCUUGUAGGGAAGAUUGAUUCCAAUAGCAGCCUAUUCCAACUCUCUCAUCUCCAAAGGCUUGAUCUGUCUUUCAAUAACUUCUCCAAUUCUCAUAUCUCCCCUGAAUUCGGCAAGUUUUCGAGCUUGAAGCAUCUUGAUCUUUCUGACUCCUAAUCUUUACAAGUUACAAUCUCUUCUUCUCUCAACAUCUUAUGACACUGUGCCAAAACUCGCAACCUGUGAUUUUAGGUUGCUCCUUCAGAAUUUGACCCUAUUACGAGUGCUUGAUCUUAGAGGUGUAAGCAUCUCUUCCGCCAUUACUCUUAAUUUGUCAUCUCAUUUAACAACUCUCGUGCUUAGGCAAUCAGAGUUGUAUGGAGUAAUACCUGAGAGUAUUUUUCACCUGCCCAAACUGAAAAUACUUGACUUAUCCAGCAAUUAUCAGCUCAGUGGUUAUUUCCCAAAGACCAAAUGGAACAGCAGCGCAUCUCUCACAGAUUUAAAUCUCCAAGGAGUGAAUUUUUCUGGUAAUUUGCCUGAGUCUCUUGGUUAUCUAACGUCAGUGAAAACUUUGUUUCUUGUUCUCUGCAAUAUCUGGGGGACUAUUCCUGAAUCUCUUUCGAAUCUCACUCGCAUAGAGUAUUUGUUCCUUGCAGGUAACUUCCUCAAUGGAACAAUACCAUCAUCGAUAUUAUCCCUUCCAACACUAACUGAUUUAGAAUUGAGUAAUAACCAUUUUUCUGGUCAGCUUGAGGAUAUCAAGUCCAAUUCACUAUUAUCUAUUGAUCUAGGCAAUAAUCAGCUGCAAGGCCAUCUUCCCGAGUCAAUUCAAAACCUUGUGAACCUCACAACUCUUGAUCUUUCUUUCAAUAAUUUUAGUGGUAGUGUGGAUGUCAGCUUCUUUUCAAACCUCAAACAUCUUUCAUCUCUUGGUAAUUCAUAUAAUAGUAUCUCAUUCACAAAUGAAAACAAAGUUAAUUUUACUUUGCCUGAAUCACUUGUGUACUUGCAGUUGGCUGCCUGUGAAGUGAAAGAAUUGGAGUUUCUAAGAUCCGCAAAGAAGCUUGAGCACUUGGAUCUUUCUAAUAAUAAGCUUCAAGGAAGAUUUCCAGAUUGGGCAUCAUCUAACUGGAUGUUUUCAUUGAACAGUCUUAAUCUAUCCCACAACAUGCUGACAAGUGUGGACUUAACUCCUUUUCAAGCUCUAAAAACAAUUGAUUUGCGAUCCAAUUCUCUUCAAGGGUCCCUAUCUAUGCCACCAAAAUUCCACAACAUACUUCUUCAUAUCAGAAAAUAAUCUUAGUGGAGAAAUUCCUUCAUCUAUUUACAACUUCACAUCAUUGGUAAUGCUAGAUUUGGCGAGAAACAACUUGAAGGGAGCAUUUCUGCAAUGUUUGGGUAAUAUCAGUAGCCUCCAGGUUCUGGAUAUGCACCACAACAGUCUUACAGGGACUAUUCCAACAACUUUUAGAUUUGGAAGUUCUUUGAGAAGCCUCAACUUGCACGGCAAUAAACUAGAGGGGAAAAUUCCCCAAUCUUUGGCCAAUUGCAAAGAGUUGCAUGUUCUUGAUUUAGGAGAUAAUCAUCUCAUUGAUAUAUUCCCGAUGUGGUUGGGAACUCUUUCAAAGCUGCAAGUUUUAAGCUUGAGAUCCAAUGAAUUGCAUGGGUCCAUUAGAACUCCAACGAUUGAAAACAUAUUUCCUAAUCUUCGAAUGUUAGAUCUCUCUUCCAAUGCCUUCACCGAAAACUUACCAACGGGUUUGUUUCAACAUUUGAAAGCCAUGAGGACAAUUGAUCAAACUAUGAACGCACCACAUUAUGAAGGAAAUAUUACCAAGACUCGGUAGCUGUCGUAUCUAAGGGAUUUGAGCGUGAAAUUGUGAGAAUCUUGUAUUUGUACACCGUUCUCGAUCUUUCAAGUAAUAAAUUUGGAGGGCAGAUUCCAUGUAUCAUGGGGGAACUCAUUGCAGUUCACAUAUUGAAUAUAUCACAUAAUGGAUUGGAAGGUCAUAUACCGUCAUCACUUGGAAGUUUAUCUUUGGUUGAAUCAUUGGACCUGUCAAGUAACCAUCUUGUAGGAAAUAUACCAGCACAAUUUGCUUCUCUUACAUCUCUUGAAGUUUUCAACCUACAAUCAUCUCGAAGGGUGCAUUCCUCAAGGAAAUCAAUUUCAGACCUUUGAGAACAAUUCAUAUGAAAGUAAUGAUGGAUUACGUGGAUUCCCACUUUCAAAAGGCUGUGGUGAUGAUUCAGUAUCAGAGACAAAUGAUACCGUUUCUGGACUAGACGAUGAAGAAAGCAAUUCUGAAUUUCUGAAUGAUUUUUGGAAAGGUGCUCUUAUGGGCUACGGGAGUGGACUAUGUAUUGGACUAUCCAAAAUAUAUUUCAUGAUUUCAACUGGAAAACCAAUGUGUCUUGCAAGAAUCAUUGUAGAGCUGGAGCACAAAAUAAUGAUGGGAAGGAGAAAGAAGCAGCGAAGGCAAAGGAAUUACAGAAAAAGAAAUAAUCAGUUAUGAUGUCACAGUGGCGAGAUUGAUAAUGAACUAUUUUAUUCGGAAUGGCAAGUAACUGGUUGCAAUAAGCAACUGAUAAUAUCGUUCAGGACUGUUUUAUCUUUUAAAUACGUAUGUGGGAUGAGUUGAUCGUUUCUUCACCUAUUCUUGUUGUUGUUUCUGCACUUGUUUGUGAUGGUUUUCCUUUGAGAGUAAUGGCUUCGUAAUCUGUAUUACCUAUUGAGUACACUGUACUGAACUUCUGGAAUGUGUUUCUUAAGUUGCAUUUCUUGUGUAAGUGCAGAAAGGGAUUUGCUGCUUACGCCAUAUGCCAGACGUCCGCUAGCCGAGGUUUGUACUAGACGUACAUAAAUCACAUACGACGUCAGGUAAAAGUGCACAUUUUGAGAAAAAAAAAAUCAAGAUACCCAUUCUUAAAAAUGACAUUAUUACUAUUUGAGGGGUAUAGGAAUAGUUUAGGGGAAAAAUUCACCCUUUUUCACCUAAGCUCUGCCCCUGGUUUCAGUGAUUUGGUAUUUUCAGGGGAAUAACUCAUAGUUUAAUGGUUUUAUUGUUACAAAAACAGUUACAAAGAGCAAGUUUGAUAAAUAGCUCGUAUUGUUAUGAAGAGUUAAUUUAGAAAUGACCAUCGGUGAAAUUAUCCUCAAAAUUUUGUGAUGAAGGUAAAUGAGAAAGUAACACAACACACAAUUCUAUUUUAAUAACAAAACUAAAAAAGAUGAUUCUCUAUCCUUUUUAAGUUUGUUUUCCUUUUUAGGGAAUUUAUUUUCUGUAUGAUAGAUGUGUAACACAUGGAUUAGAAUUACAUAUGAACAGACAGAAAUGGUUUAAGUGUGAAUGAGAGAAAGAGCAGCCAACAACAUUUGGAGAAAACACGUUUCCGUUUGGUCUUCAAUGAUAAAUUUCAUACAAUAUAAAAUCCUAUAGACCCUCCACAAUAAGUUCAUUGAAAACCCAAAAUAAUAAACUCAAAAUAUGAUGAUGAUUCCAAGCAAAAUAUUCUCUCUACUUCAGUUUUUCACUCUUUUAUAUCUCCUUACAGUUACUUUUGCUUCCAUCGAAGAAGCAACUGCCCUCUUGAAAUGGAAAACAACUUUUAAGAACCGGGAUAAUUUCUUAUUGGCUUCAUGGAAGCCAAGUUCUAAUGCAUGCAGGGACUGGUACGGAGUUAUAUGCUUUAACGGUAAGGUAAACAAGUUGAAUAUUAGAAAUACUAGUGUCAUUGGUACACUUGAUGAUUUUCCAUUUUCAUCUCUCCCUUUUCUUGAGUAUCUUGAUCUUAGCAUGAACCAUUUCUCUGGCACCAUUCCACCUGAAAUUGGUAAACUCACUAAUCUUAUCUAUCUUGAUUUGUCGAGUAAUCAGAUUUCAGGCACAGUACCACCGCAAAUCGGCUCACUAGCCAAGCUUCAGAUCCUCCAUAUCAUUGAAAACCAUUUAAAUAGUUUUAUUCCUGAAGAAAUAGGUCAUCUAAAGUCUCUUACUGAGCUAGAUUUGAGUUCUAACGCACUUAAUGGUUCUAUUCCAACUUCAUUGGGAAAUUUGAACAGCUUGUCUCGUUUGAAUCUUUAUAAAAAUAACCUUUCUGGCUCCAUUCCUGCAGAAAUAGGUUACCUAAGGUUUCUUACCGAUCUACGUUUGAACGAUAACAUUCUUAAUGGUUCUAUUCCUGCUUCAUUGGGGAAUUUGAACAACUUGACUAUUCUGCAUCUUCAUGAUAAUCACCUUUCUGGCCCUAUCCCUGCAGAAAUAGGUUACCUAAGGUCUCUUGUUGGGUUAAGUUUGAAGAAUAACUCUCUUGAUGGUUCUAUUCCUGCUUCAUUGGGGAAUUUGAACAACUUGUCGGUCUUGUAUCUUAAUGGUAAUCACCUUUCUGGCCCUAUUCCUGAAGAAAUAGGUCAUCUAAAGUCUCUUACUGAGCUAGAUUUGAGUUCUAACGCACUUAAUGGUUCUAUUCCAACUUCAUUGGGAAAUUUGAACAGCUUGUCUCGUUUGAAUCUUUAUAAAAAUAACCUUUCUGGCUCCAUUCCUGCAGAAAUAGGUUACCUAAGGUCUCUUGUUGGGUUAAGUUUGAAGAAUAACUCUCUUGAUGGUUCUAUUCCUGCUUCAUUGGGGAAUUUGAACAACUUGUCGGUCUUGUAUCUUAAUGGUAAUCACCUUUCUGGCCCUAUUCCUGAAGAAAUAGGUUAUCUAAGGUUUCUUUUCUGAACUACAAUUGUACGAUAACUCUCUUAAUGGUUCUAUUCCUGCUUCAUUGGGGAAUUUGAACAACUUGUCGGUCUUGUAUCUUAAUGGUAAUCACCUUUCUGGCCCUAUCCCUGCAGAAAUAGGUUACCUAAGGUCUCUUGUUGGGUUAAGUUUGAAGAAUAACUCUCUUGAUGGUUCUAUUCCUGCUUCAUUGGGGAAUUUGAACAACUUGACUAUUCUGCAUCUUCAUGAUAAUCACCUUUCUGGCCCUAUCCCUGCAGAAAUAGGUUACCUAAGGUCUCUUGUUGGGUUAAGUUUGAAGAAUAACUCUCUUGAUGGUUCUAUUCCUGCUUCAUUGGGGAAUUUGAACAACUUGUCGGUCUUGUAUCUUAAUGGUAAUCACCUUUCUGGCCCUAUUCCUGAAGAAAUAGGUCAUCUAAAGUCUCUUACUGAGCUAGAUUUGAGUUCUAACGCACUUAAUGGUUCUAUUCCAACUUCAUUGGGAAAUUUGAACAGCUUGUCUCGUUUGAAUCUUUAUAAAAAUAACCUUUCUGGCUCCAUUCCUGCAGAAAUAGGUUACCUAAGGUCUCUUGUUGGGUUAAGUUUGAAGAAUAACUCUCUUGAUGGUUCUAUUCCUGCUUCAUUGGGGAAUUUGAACAACUUGUCGGUCUUGUAUCUUAAUGGUAAUCACCUUUCUGGCCCUAUCCCUGAAGAAAUAGGUUAUCUAAGGUUUCUUUCUGAACUACAAUUGUACGAUAACUCUCUUAAUGGUUCUAUUCCUGCUUCAUUGGGGAAUUUGAACAACUUGACUAUUCUGCAUCUUCAUGAUAAUCACCUUUCUGGCCCUAUUCCUGAAGAAAUAGGUUAUCUAAGGUUUCUUUCUGAACUACAAUUGUACGAUAACUCUCUUAAUGGUUCUAUUCCUGCUUCAUUGGGGAAUUUGAACAACUUGUCGGUCUUGUAUCUUAAUGGUAAUCACCUUUCUGGCCCUAUCCCUGAAGAAAUAGGUUAUCUAAGGUUUCUUACUGAUCUACAGUUGUACAAUAACUCUCUUAAUGGUUCUAUUCCUGCUUCAUUGGGGAAUUUGAGAAACUUGCAUGUUCUGUCUCUCCAUGAAAACAAUCUGAUUGAGGAAAUUCCUUCAUCUAUUUGCAAUUUAACAUCACUGGUAGUCCUGUAUUUGUCGAGAAACAACUUGAAAGGAAAAAAUCUGCAAUGCUUGGGUAAUAUCAGUGCCCUCCAGUAUGUGAUAAUGUCACAUAAUAGUCUCAGUGGAGAGCUCCAUCCGUCUAUUUGCAAUUUAACAUCACUGCAAAUUCUAGAUUUGGGUAGAAACAAUCUAACCGGAGAAAUUCCGCAAUGUUUGUUGUGCCGUAAUUUUCCUAUUUUCUAGAAAAAUCACUUUUUGAAAUGUUCUAAGUAUAAAAUAAUUUGAAAAAUACUUAGAAAGAGUCGCCACUUAAUUUUUUAAAGAAAUUAAGAAAACUUAUAAAUUUCAAAGAUUUAAACAGAAAAAAUCAUUUGAAAAUACCAAAGAAGGUUCGGGGUUCAAUUUACACUUCGAGAAGGGUUUAAGCAUUCGAAGUGUCCGCUAACAUGCGGUUGACCUGCGACUUGACUAAAAUAUAUUUUGACUAUUUUUUAGAAAAGGUUAUUUAACAUAAAAAGGAAUAACUUACAAUAUUUGGUUAAGAAAAUAAUUAAAUAAAUGACAUAUUUUAUUAUUUUAUUUUUUAGAGAAAAAAGAUCCAAAAUAGAACAUUUGACUCGAAAUACAAGUCAUUAGAAUUUUAAUAAAACUAGAUUAAUUAGAAUUUAUUUAAUUCAUUUUUUUUAACCAAUUUAAUAAAUUAAGGCAUAAAAAUUAUUUUUUAAUUAAUUGACUACCCCUUUUUGAGAAAAUGACUAAGUAAGUAGUUAUAAUAAUAAUUUACAUUAUUAGAUUAACUUUCAAAAAAUAUAGUUAAAUAACGAAUAAUUUUUUAAUUUUUUUUUUGGAAAAUUGGGUCUCAAUUGAAACAACUUGGUCAAUUAGGAUUUUAACAAAAAACUAGAUUAAUUAAAAAUUUAUUUAUGUCAUAUUUUAGAAAUAAUAAUUCGAACCAACUUGGUAGACAAACCAAGACAUUAUUUUAAUCUAAUUAAAGAUGAGUGAAAGUUUUGACUAAAAAUAAAAUAAAAUAUUUGAAUAAGUAUAAGAGUUGAUAAAAUGAAUUAUUUUUAAAGAAACUAACAUAAAGAAUAUGGUUCAUCUUUUGGGGAAUUCAACUAAGUUAAUUAAAAAUUCUAAAGUUAGAGUUAAACAACAAAUAAUGAGUAAUCGCAAUUAAAUAAUUGAAGCGUAAGGGAGAAAUUGAAUUUGGGCCUUUCUUGGGCCAAAUUCGCUACUGUUUUUGGGAAUUUUACUCAAUCCCGUUUUUGUAUAUAUUGUUUGUAUAUUAGUGUAUAUGAGCAUAUAUAUUAGCUCUUUUCAUGUAUCUCUUGCUUCCGAAUGUCUAUAUGUCNNNNNNNNNNNNNNNNNNNNNNNNNNNNNNNNNNNNNNNNNNNNNNNNNNNNNNNNNNNNNNNNNNNNNNNNNNNNNNNNNNNNNNNNNNNNNNNNNNNNNNNNNNNNNNNNNNNNNNNNNNNNNNNNNNNNNNNNNNNNNNNNNNNNNNNNNNNNNNNNNNNNNNNNNNNNNNNNNNNNNNNNNNNNNNNNNNNNNNNNNNNNNNNNNNNNNNNNNNNNNNNNNNNNNNNNNNNNNNNNNNNNNNNNNNNNNNNNNNNNNNNNNNNNNNNNNNNNNNNNNNNNNNNNNNNNNNNNNNNNNNNNNNNNNNNNNNNNNNNNNNNNNNNNNNNNNNNNNNNNNNNNNNNNNNNNNNNNNNNNNNNNNNNNNNNNNNNNNNNNNNNNNNNNNNNNNNNNNNNNNNNNNNNNNNNNNNNNNNNNNNNNNNNNNNNNNNNNNNNNNNNNNNNNNNNNNNNNNNNNNNNNNNNNNNNNNNNNNNNNNNNNNNNNNNNNNNNNNNNNNNNNNNNNNNNNNNNNNNNNNNNNNNNNNNNNNNNNNNNNNNNNNNNNNNNNNNNNNNNNNNNNNNNNNNNNNNNNNNUUUGCACAGUAAACUGCAAAUGAUUGAAUAUUAUGCUUUUUACAAUAAAAAGGGGAUUAGCAACAUGCCUCUUAUAGUAAAACGAAUAUAUUUCAUGGAAUAAAUAAGUUAGCAAAUAAUGCUAACAAUUUGGGAAGAGACAAGAACUAGAAGUAAACCAAAAGUUAGAAGGAAACAACAUCUCCAAAUUUAUACAAACUCCACUGUAAAUGGCGAACAACUCUUGGUAAAAAUUUUGUUUUUUAUUUUUUAUUUUUUAGAUAAAAUAAAGGUCAAUACUUGAUUCAAACAUAUCAUAUUAGGUAGUGAGAUAACAAAAAACCUCAUGAGGUAAAAAAAAAAAAAAAAAAAAAAAAAAAAAAAGAAAAAAAAGAAAAGACAGCCCAAAAAUUACAAGUCGUGACCCAAAAUAUUGAAAUUUCAAUCUUAGCAUGAUUCAUGGUGAAAAUAACAGAAAGAUGGAGCAGUAAACGGACACGAAAUGAACACUCGAGAGGCCUGAAAUAAUCAAUUUAUCGACUCAAUCUUAACUUGGUCAAACUAAGCCAGACUCGAAAUAACUUAACUCAACAUAAAAAAGUGACGAAGACUACACAACUAAUACUAUUACGAAUGAGAUUUAAGAGGUACAAGCAACUAAUAUAAGGACUAUAUAUGCUACUUAGUUGAACAUAGAUAGAGCACACACCAUAAGAAAAGGCAGUAAACUACUCAGCUCACACUAUUUAUACUAGCUAACAUAAAUGGAAAUAAGCCCACACAUCAGAUUGCAAAAACUAGCAUUUCGGACUCGAAAAGUUCACAAUUGAGCUAAGUCAUGGCAACCAGGUGAGAUCACUCAAUUUAAUGAGAAGAAACUAACAUGAAGUAAAUAAUCUCAGCUAAAAGGGGUCAUCAAAUUUCAAACAACAAAAAGAAAGAAGAACCGAAAUCAAAAUGACUAAACUAAGCGAGUGGUCAGACCACCUAUAUUGCCGAUUUACAGCCAACGUUCAGCCAUAAUGUGCCCCAAAUCAUAACAUUUGAACACUUACUCAGUCGAGAAUCAAGUAAUCAACACAUCUAAGGAUAAGGAGACAUGGGUUGAAAUUAGAUAUUACCUUUUGAGAGGCAGAGAACUGGGAAUGACGAGCUUCGAAUAACGACGAGCUUCCACCACCACAACAAAGUUUCGUUGGAGAAUCCUCCGAGUUCCCGAAACCAAAAGCCUCGAUUCCAAUGAAGUUAUUUGAGUCGUUCUUAAUAUCCAAAAUAUUUAUGUUUUUCGAGGUGAAAUUAGGUGAUCCUAAAAAAUAUGUUCUCUUUUUCGGUCUCCUCCCUCUCUGCCCUUACAGUGAACAUAAUAGGGGUAUAUAUAGGGGAGAUUCGAAUUAAGGAAGGGGGGAAAAUCGAAUUGAAAAGAUGGGUAAGGAUGAAAUUCAAAAUUUUGAAUUUUCUUCCUCCUUACCCAGGGCAACAGGGAAGGGAUUUAGAAAAUCCCAGAAAAGGAGGAAAAGGGACGUGAGGGUGGUUGGAUUAGGUUGCUAGGGUAUGGGUUCUGCAGGGUAGUUGGAUGAGAUUUUUGCAGCGCGAUUUCUGGGUUUGUUCUGCUUGCUGCAUCGUUUCGCUGAAGAAGAAGAAGCGUGGACCUGUUUGGCACUGCUGUACGCAUUACUGUUGAUGUAUUGUUGAAUGGAAUUGUUGGAUCUUUUCUAUUGUGGGCUGAUGGGUCUUUGUGGGCUAGGGGAAUUGGAAAUGGAGAAUAAUGGGCUGCUGAAACAUAUUUUAUGAAGGCCCAAAUUUUUAAUCCUUCAAUAUAGCUAAAUGAAUUAAGAAAAUAGCCAAAUUGAGUUGAUUUACCGAAUUCGGCUAGAAUUGAAAUACGAUGAAUCAAUACAAUUAAUUUACGAGCUUCUUAGUCUCAAUGACAUAAAAUAAUUAAUUCGAUUGUAAAAUAAUUAAUUUAAUUACAAACUAAUUAACUCGAAAUUAUAACUAUAACUUAGACUAAACCAAAUUAAUAAGAUAUUUAACUAGGAUGUAAAAUCUUUUAUGAUGAUUUUUGAAUAUUUAUAAAAUAACGUGAUUGCAAAAAUAUACAUAUUUAUUAUUAAAAAAUGAUAAAAUUACUUUUAAAAAAAAUAACUUGAAAGUAUUUUGAAUUUUCAUAAAACUCAUUAAUUCAAAAUUAUAGCCAUUCCUAAUAUUAAAAAUAUAAAAUCUUUUUUGAGACGAUUCUCGAAUAAUCAUAAAAUAUACUAAUUAUAUACAUAAUUAUGUAAAACAUAUAUAUUAUCUAAAAAUUAUGAAAAGUGACAAAACUAUUUAAAAAUCUUGCAACUAUAUUAUUAUUUUUUGGAAAUUUUAUAAAACUAAUUAUUUUAAAUUGUUUGAAAUUGGAGAAGCUCGAAAUGAUUAAUUUAUAUUGUGGAGGGUCAAAAUUGGGUGUCCACAAUGUUUUGGAAACAUGAGUGGUCAUCUUGAGGUUCUGGAUAUGCAACACAACAAUCUUUCUGGAACUCUUCCAACAACUUUUAGGGCUGGAACACUUAGAAGCUUCAACUUGCAUGGCAAUAAACUUAAGGGGAAAAUUCCCCAAUCUUUGGUCAAUUGCAAAGAGAUGCAAGUUCUUGAUUUAGGAGAUAAUCACCUCAACGACACAUUCCCAAUGUGGUUGGGAACUCUUCCUAAGUUGAGAGUUUUAAGCUUGAGAUCGAAUAAGUUGCAUGGACCGAUUAGAACUUUAGGAAGUGAAAACAUGUUUAUUGAACUUCGAAUGUUGGAUAUCUCUUCCAAUGCCUUCACAGAAAACUUACCGACGAGUCUGUUUCAACAUUUAAAAGCCAUGAGGACAAUUGAUCAAGCGAUGAAUGCACCAAGUGAUGAAGGAGAUGAAUAUUAUUAUCAAGAUACUGUAGCUGUCGUAUCCAAGGGAUUUGAGCAUGAAAUUGUGAGAAUCCUGUUUUUGUACACCACUAUCGAUCUUUCAAACAACAAAUUUGAAGGAUAUAUUCCAAGUUUUAUGGGAGAUCUCAUUGCACUUUGUGUGCUGAAUUUAUCUCAUAAUGGACUGCAAGGUCAUAUACCGCCAUCACUUGGAAGAUUAUCUUCAGUUGAAUCAUUGGACCUUUCAGGUAACCAUUUUGUAGGAGAGAUACCAGCACAAUUUGCUUCUCUUACUUCUCUUGCAGUCUUAAAUCUCUCCUACAAUCAUCUCGAAGGGUGCAUUCCUCAAGGAAAUCAAUUUCAGACCUUUGAGAACAAUUCAUAUGUAGGUAAUGAUGGAUUAAGUGGAUUUCCACUAUCAAAAGGCUGUGGUAGUGAUGAUAAUGAUUCGGAGACAAAUGAUACCACAUAUGAAAUAGAUGAUGAAGAAAGCGACUCUGAAUUUCUGAAUGAUUUUUGGAAAGCUGCUCUUAUGGGGUAUGGAAGUGGACUGUGUAUUGGGUUAUCGAUAAUAUAUUUCAUGUUCUCAACUGGAAAUCCGAUAUGGCUUGCAAGAAUCAUUGUAGAACUGGAACACAAAAUAAUGAUGGGAAGGAGAAAGAAGCGCAGCAAAGGUAAAGGAGUAACAGAAGAAGCAAAUAAUCGCAUGUAGAAGAGUUAAAACUUCAGGUAUAUAUGCAGUUAAGUUCUAGUUUGAGCUUUAGAUUAUUGCAGCUAACUAUAUCUGAAUUUUCAUAUUAGUUAUAUCAGAAACUAAUUGAAUGCUCUACAAAGCCCUAUUUUUCUGUCCAAAAUUAGUUGGAAGCUGUGAUCCAGUUAUCUGGUUAGAGGCUUGGUUUAACAAGUGCUUCAAGUGUGAACCAACAGAUAAUUAGUUUUAGAGCAAAAUUCGCCGGACAUAAUAACUUUUUUUCAAAUUGUAAUUUCAUUUUAGCAUAUAAUAAAGACUUGACUUUCUUUGUGUAAAUAUAAACAUCAGACAGUAAAUAAACAAAUUCAAACAUGCAGGUGGUUGGAGAAGAAUUUGUUGGAAUGCUCAUCAGAGAUACAAUAAUUAAUAUCAGAAACUGCAGCUUAUGGUUUAUAAGUAGGCUUUUUAUUCUUCCUUUAUUAACUUUAGGAAAUGUAAUACUAUGAUAUAUCAAGUUAUGUAAUGUUUUAAUGUAUUCAAUGAAAUAUGAUGUGUAGAUUUUCCAUUGUACCAAAAAAGAAAAUAAACAAUUUGUUGGAAUGCUCAUCAGAGAUGCAAUAUUAUCAGAAACUUCAGGUUUUGGUUUAUAAGUAGACUUUUUUAUUCUUCCAUUAUUAACUUUAUAUGAAGGUAAUGAUGAAUUGCGUGGAUUCCCAGUUUCGAAAGGUUGUGGCAGUGAUCUAUUAUCAGAGGCAAGUUAUAUAUAUAGCAUAUCUGUGCUUGAAGUUCAAGAAAGCAAUACUGAAUUUCUCUAUAUUUUUUUGAAAAGCUGCUCAAUUAUAAGCUAUGAAAUUGGACUAUAUGUGGUAUGUUUCAUGGUUUCAUGGUUUCAACUGAAUAUCCGAAAUGGCUCGCAAGAAUCAUUGAAGAAUUGGAACACAAAAUUAUUAUGCAGAGCAAAGAAGAAGAUUAAGCAAAUUAAUGUAUUCAAUGAAGAAGUUUAUGCAUUUCUUUUUAAUCUUGUUUUCUUUUUGAGGGAAUUUAUUUUCUAUAUGAUAGUCUUUUUUACUUGAAAAAUGAUGUGUAACACAUGGAUAAAAAAGAAAGACAAAAACAAAAAAGCAAAAAAAUUAACAUGACAAUGACAAAUUUUGUCUAAUAAAAUAUGAUCAGACAAAGUGUGAAUAAGACUAUAAAGAAUAAAAUAUGAUGAUUAUUUCAACAACCAAAAUAAUUCUUUAUUCUUUUUUACUUGAAAAAUGAUGUGUACCACAUGGAUAAAAAAAGGAAAGAGAAAACAAAAAAGCAAAAAAAUUGACAUGACAACGACAAAUUUUGUCUAAUAAAAUAUGAUCAGACAAAGUGUGAAUAAGACUAUAAAAAAUAAAAUAUGAUGAUUAUUUCAACAACCAAAAUAAUUCUUUAUUGGUUUAAAAUUUAUAUAUUGACUCCGAUAUUAAAAAAUUGGGUCGGUUCUCUUUCUCGAAUGGGUCAAAUUAUUAGGGUGGGUUGUUAAAAAUGGAUAGUAUAUUAUCAAGGGAAAAUGCAUAAUUACCCCCAGCCUAUGCCCAAAAUCCAUGAGAUACACCUAACCUUUACUAAGGUUCUAUUACCCCCCGAACUUAUUUUAUAUAUAAUUUUCUACCCCUUUUCGGCCUACGUGGCACUAUCUUGUGGGCCCAGCGCGUGUUGACAAUUUUUUCAAGGAUAGUGCCACGUUGGCCAAAAUGGGGUAGAAAAUUAUAUAUAAAAUAAGUUCGGGGAGGUAAUAGGACCUUAGUAAAGGUUAGGUGUGUCUCAGGGAUUUGGGGCAUAGGCUGAAGGGGUACUUAUGCAUUUUCCCUAUUAUCAAUAGUUAAGUAAUCAUGUGAGAAAUUAACAAUAUCUGCUAUAUAAAUUUUCAUAACUAGUCAUAUCGCCUUACUUAAAUUCGUUUCAGUCUAAUAAAAAGUACAUUAGAAAUGUUAAUGCAGUGUAGAAAUUUAUUUAUCUAAGAUGGAACAUGUCUACUACAUUAGAGAUAAAAAAUGAGAACCAAACAUAAAUACUCAUAACCAUGUGAUCUUGUCUGAUAACACAACAAAUUAUUUGGUUAAUUAAGUCUCUGUCUGAAUUAAAAUAUUAUUCCAUGCCCUUUUUCUUUUGUUACUUAAUAUAAUUUUCAGCGACUAUAUUGAUAAUCAACUAUAUGUUUUUUUAAAAAUAUAAUGGUAUGAUUUUUAUAUAUUUAUGUACUAUUUGCAUGUCCAAAUAAAAAAGGGAAAAUGCAUAAGUACCCCCCCAGCCUAUGCCCGAAAUCUCAGAGACACACCUAACCUUUACUAAGGUCCUAUUAUCCCCCCGAAGUUAUUUUAUAUGUAAUAUUCUACCCCUUUUUGACCUACGUGGCACUAUCUUGUGGGCCCAGUGCACGUUGACAAAUUUUUCAAGGAUAGUGCCACGUAAGCCGAAAAGGGGUAGAAUAUUAUAGAUAAAUUAAGUUCGGGGGUAAUAGGACCUUAGUAAAGGUUAGGUGUGUCUCUGAGAUUUCGGGCAUAGGCUGGGGGGGUACUUAUGCAUUUUCCCUUUUUUAUUUGGACAUGCAAAUAGUACAUAAAUAUAUAAAAAUCAUACCAUUAUAUUUUAAGAGAAAAAAUAAAAAGAUGAUUAUCUACUCCAUUAAGCUUUUAAUUUUUUUCUUCUGAGGGAAUUUAUUUUGUGUAGAUGUGUAACACAUGUAUAAAAGAAGAAGAAAAAAAUGGAACAACUCAAAUUUGACUUUUGCAUUGACUUGAGAAUGCAUGACAAUAUUUUCUCUGAUAAAAUAUGAACAUAAAGAGAGAGAGAGCAGCCGAAAUUUGGUCUUUAACGAUAAGUUAGGUACAAUAUAAAAUCCUAUGAACCCUCCACAAUUAGUUCAUUGAAAUCCAAAACAUGAUGACCAAAAUAUUCUCUUUACUUCAGUUUUUCACUCUUUUAUAUCUCCUUACAGUUACUUUUGCUUCCGUCGAGGAAGCAACUUCCCUACUGAAAUGGAAAGCAACUUUCAAGAACCAGAACAACUCCUUAUUCGCUUCAUGGACACCAAGUUCUAACUCAUGCAGGGAUUGGUAUGGAGUUAUAUGCUUUAACGGUAGAGUAAACAUGUUGAAUAUUACAAAUACUAGUGUCAUUGGUACACUCGAUGAUUUUCCAUCUUCUUCUCUCCCUUUUCUUGAGUAUCUUGAUCUUAGCAUGAACUAUUUCUCUGGCACCAUUCCACCUGACAUUGGUAAACUCACUAAUCUUAUUUAUCUUGAUUUGUCAAGUAAUCAGAUUUCAGGCAUAGUACCACCGCAAAUCAGCUCAUUAGCCAAGCUUCAGAUCCUCCAUAUGUUUGACAACCAUUUAAAUGGUUUCAUUCCUGAAGAAAUAGGUCAUCUAAAGUCUCUUACUGAGCUAGAUUUGAAUUUUAACACUCUUAAUGGUUCUAUUCCUGCUUCAUUGGGGAAUUUGAACAACUUGACUAUUCUGCAUCUUCAUUGAUAAUCACCUUUCUGGUUCUAUCCCUGAAGAAAUAGGUUACCUAAGGUCUCUUACUGAUCUGCAGUUGUACGAUAACUCUCUUGAUGGUUCUAUUCCUGCUUCAUUUGGGAAUUUGACCAACUUGUCCAUUUUGUAUCUUUAUGAUAAUCAACUUUCUGGCCCUAUUCCUGCAGAAAUAGGUUACCUAAGGUCUCUUACUGAGAUAGAUUUGAGUUCUAACACUCUUGAUGGUUCUAUUCCAACUUCAUUGGGAAAUUUGACCAGCUUGUCCAUUUUGUAUCUUUUUGAUAAUCACCUUUCUGGCCUUAUUCCUGCAGAAAUAGGUUACCUAAGGUCUCUUACUGAUCUGCGGUUGUACAAUAACUCCCUUAAUGGUUCUAUUCCUGCUUCAUUUGGGAAAUUUUGACCAACUUGUCCAUUUUGUAUCUUUAUGAUAAUCAACUUUCUGGCCCUAUUCCUGCAGAAAUAGGUUACCUAAGGUCUCUUACUGAUCUGCAGUUGUACGAUAACUCUCUUGAUGGUUCUAUUCCUGCUUCAUUGGGGAAUUUGAACAACUUGACUAUUCUGCGUCUUGAUGGUAAUCACCUAUUUGGCUUUAUUCCUGAGGAAAUAGGUUACCUAAGGUCUCUUACUGAGAUAGAUUUGAGUUCUAACACUCUUGAUGGUUCUAUUCCAACUUCAUUGGGAAAUUUGACCAGCUUGUCCAUUUUGUAUCUUUUUGAUAAUCACCUUUCUGGCCUUAUUCCUGCAGAAAUAGGUCACCUAAGGUCUCUUACUGAUCUGCGGUUGUACAAUAACUCCCUUAAUGGUUCUAUUCCUGCUUCAUUGGGGAAUUUGAACAACUUGACUAUUCUGCGUCUUGAUGGUAAUCACCUAUUUGGCUUUAUUCCUGAAGAAAUAGGUUACCUAAGGUCUCUUACUGAUCUGCGGUUGUACAAUAACUCCCUUAAUGGUUCUAUUCCUGCUUCAUUGGGGAAUUUGAACAACUUGACUAUUCUGCGUCUUGAUGGUAAUCACCUAUUUGGCUUUAUUCCUGAAGAAAUAGGUUACCUAAGGUCUCUUACUGAUCUGCGGUUGUACAAUAACUCCCUUAAUGGUUCUAUUCCUGCUUCAUUGGGGAAUUUGAACAACUUGACUAUUCUGCGUCUUGAUGGUAAUCACCUAUUUGGCUUUAUUCCUGAAGAAAUAGGUUACCUAAGAUUUCUUACUGAUCUACGUUUGAACGAUAACUUUCUUAAUGGUUCUAUUCCUGCUUCAUUGGGGAAUUUGAACAACUUGACUAUUCUGCGUCUUGAUGGUAAUCACCUAUUUGGCUUUAUUCCUGAAGAAAUAGGUUACCUAAGAUUUCUUACUGAUCUACGUUUGAACGAUAACUUUCUUAAUGGUUCUAUUCCUGCUUCAUUGGGGAAUUUGAACAACUUGACUAUUCUGCGUCUUGAUGGUAAUCACCUAUUUGGCUUUAUUCCUGAAGAAAUAGGUUACCUAAGAUUUCUUACUGAUCUACGUUUGAACGAUAACUUUCUUAAUGGUUCUAUUCCUGCUUCAUUGGGGAAUUUGAACAACUUGACUAUUCUGCGUCUUGAUGGUAAUCACCUAUUUGGCUUUAUUCCUGAAGAAAUAGGUUACCUAAGAUUUCUUACUGAUCUACGUUUGAACGAUAACUUUCUUAAUGGUUCUAUUCCUGCUUCAUUGGGGAAUUUGANNNNNNNNNNNNNNNNNNNNNNNNNNNNNNNNNNNNNNNNUUGAGUUUUAACACUCUUAAUGGUUCUAUUCCUGCUUCAUUGGGGAAUUUGACCAUCUUGUCCAUUUUGUAUCUUGAUGGUAAUCACCUUUCUGGCCCUAUCCCUGAAGAAAUAGGUUACCUAAGGUCUCUUACUGAUCUGCGGUUGUACAAUAACUCUCUUAAUGGUUCUAUUCCUGCUUCAUUGGGGAAUUUGAGAAACUUGCAAGUUCUGUCUCUCAAUGACAACAAUCUGAUUGAGGAAAUUCCUUCAGCUAUUUGCAAUUUAACAUCACUGGUAAUCCUGUAUUUGUCGAGAAACAACUUGAAAGGAAAAAUUCUGCAAUGCUUGGGUAAUAUCAGUGCCCUCCAGUAUAUGAUGAUGUCACAUAAUAAUCUCAAUGGAGAGCUCCCUUCGUCUAUUUGCAAUUUAACAUCACUACAAAUUCUAGAUUUAGGUAGAAACAAUCUAAAGGGAGCGAUUCCACAAUGUUUUGGCAACAUGAGUGGUCAUCUUGAGGUUCUGGAUAUGCAACACAACAAUCUUUCUGGAACUCUUCCAACGACUUUUAGAGCUGGAACAUUUAGAAGCUUCAACUUGCAUGGCAAUAAAAUAAAGGGGAAAAUUCCCCAAUCUUUGGCCAAUUGUAAAGAGAUGCAAGUUCUUGAUUUAGGAGAUAAUCACCUCAACGACACAUUCCCGAUGUGGUUGGGAACUCUUCCUAAGUUAAGAGUUUUAAGCCUGAGAUCGAAUAAGUUGCAUGGACCGAUCAGAAAUUUAAGAAGUGAAAACAUUUUUCUUGAGCUUCGAAUGUUGGAUAUCUCUUCCAAUGCCUUCACGGAAAACUUACCGAUCAGUCUGUUUCAACAUUUAAAAGGAAUGAGGACAAUUGAUCAAACGAUGAAUGCACCAAGUGAUGAAGGAGAUGAAUAUUACCAAGACUCAGUAGCUGUCGUAACAAAGGGAUUGGAGCGUGAAGUUGUGAGAAUCUUGUUUUUGUACACUACAAUCGAUU
rnacentral:lncRNA from 1 species